UACGUAGGGGGCUAGCGUUGUCCGGAAUCAUUGGGCGUAAAGCGCGCGUAGGCGGCCAGAUAAGUCCGGUGUGAAAGUCACAGGCUCAACCUGUGAAUGCCGCUGGAAACUGUCUGGCUAGAGUCCGGAAGGGGCGAGUGGAAUUCCUGGUGUAGCGGUGAAAUGCGCAGAUAUCAGGAGGAACGCCAAUGGCGAAGGCAGCUCGCUGGGACGGUACUGACGCUGAGGCGCGAAAGCGUGGGGAGCAAACAGG
rnacentral:rRNA from 1 species